AUUCCAAAGAAACUCCAUUGCCAUCCCAUGUGUGGAGCUUCAUCCACUCAAGAUCAAGCCAUCCAAAUAUCAAGUCUUCUUCAUUAAAGUUGGAGUACUCACCUUGGGCAGCAUUUUGGGAGCAAAAAGGGAGAGAUUUGAAGAAGUUUGACAAGUUCAAUUUGAGUGGAAAAGAAUACCGGGACAGAACCCGAGGAGUCGAGUCAAGGCCAACAGGCGACUCGUUUGAGAUACAGAGAUUAGAGGAGCAGCAGACUGAGCUGCUGAGGUGUGAGAAGCUACCAGCCUAAAGUUUUCGGGUAUAAUUUAUACCCUAACUGUAAAUAUUUCUUUUGAUGUAUAUAUUGCACAUAAAUGUAUGGACA